rnacentral:rRNA from 1 species
GGAGAAUAUUUGACAAUGGGCGAAAGCUUGAUCGAGUAAUGUUACGUGGGUGAUCAGAAGGCUUAAUUGCUGUAAAACUCGUUUCGUCAAGGAUUAUAAUGCAAUCGUACUUGAAGGAGAAGCCCUGACUAACUUCGUGCCAGCAGUCGCGGUAAUACGGAGAGGGCAAGUGUUAUUCGCAUUGACUGGGUGUAAAGGGUGCGUAGGUGGCUUGUUAAGUUUCAAAGUAAAGGUUAAAUUCAAAGUUUAAAGGCUUUUUAAUACUAACAGGCUAGAGUUUACUAGAAGAUAGCUGAACAUUAAGUGUAAAGGUGAAAUUUUUCGAUAUUUAAAGGACAUUCAAUAGGCGAAGGCUGCUAUCUAUUUUAAUACUGACACUGAGGCACAAAAGCAUAGGGAUCA